GAUGAACGCUGGCGGCGUGCCUAAUACAUGCAAGUCGAGCGAACAGAUGAGGAGCUUGCUCCUCUGACGUUAGCGGCGGACGGGUGAGUAACACGUGGAUAACCUACCUAUAAGACUGGGAUAACUUCGGGAAGCCGGAGCUAAUACCGGAUAAUAUAUUGAACCGCAUGGUUCAAUAGUGAAAGACGGUUUUGCUGUCACUUAUAGAUGGAUCCGCGCCGCAUUAGCUAGUUGGUAAGGUAACGGCUUACCAAGGCAACGAUGCGUAGCCGACCUGAGAGGAUGAUCGGCCACACUGGAACUGAGACACGGUCCAGACUCCUACGGGAGGCAGCAGUAGGGAAUCUUCCGCCAUGGGCGAAAGCCUGACGGAGCAACGCCGCGUGAGUGAUGAAGGUCUUCGGAUCGUAAAACUCUGUUAUUAGGGAAGAACAAAUGUGUAAGUAACUAUGCACGUCUUGACGGUACCUAAUCAGAAAGCCACGGCUAACUACGUG
rnacentral:rRNA from 1 species